UCCUUGGAGUUCCGGUGAGGAGGGCAAGGAAGGCGGAUGAUCCGGCGAGAGCUGAGAGACAGGACAGAUAUUGCCGGCAAUAGGAGAGGUUCUACCUGACUAAUCUGCCUGGAUCAAAGGAUAGAUUGUGCUGUGUCUUGCCGCGAGAGGCUUCGGAUCCUCAUCUGUGGGCACAAUAUGGUCUUGGCACAUCCUCAUUGAUUUAGGCUGGAUUUGGUGCAUAAAGCCAGUGACUUUCUGGAAAAAUACAGAAAUUUGGAUGAUAUUCCGACAAACUUCAGCAGAGGCAUCAACAGGGUAACAACUGGAGCAGAGCAAGGAGGAGGAAGAAAUGGGGGCUACCAGUCUUAUUUAACUCCACUUUUUCUACCUUCCCAUAUAUAUUCUUUGAUUUUUAUUUCAUUUUAUGAACCUUAAGAAUUUGUUGGCAAUAUGGAUUACAAAAGUUUAACUUGGAACAUUAAUGGGGCAAACUCAGCCCAAAAAAGGAAGAAAAUAUUUCACUAUACCCAAAGAUGUACAAGACCAGACAUUGACAAGAAAUUAUAGGCCAAUAUCAUUAUUAAAUAAUGACUAUAAGUUGUUUGCAAUGAUAUUGGCUGGAAGACAUAAAAGUAUUCUCCAGGACAUUAUUAAUGAAGACCAACGUGGAUUUCUACCUAAGAGGCAGCUGAAGGACAAUGUAAGAAUAGUAUUGGAUAUUCUGGAGUACUUGGAAAAACAUAAUUUAAAAAAGCUGCUGUAGAUGCCGAGAAGGCCUUUGACAAUUUAACCUGGAAAGUUUUUUUCUAGAUGCCGAGAAGGCCUUUGACAAUUUAAACUGGAAAUUUUUGUUUAAGGUCUUGGAAGAUAUGGACUUUGGAGAUAAUUUUAUAAAAUGGCCAAGUCGAUUUAUACAUCCCAGUCAGCAUGAAUAGUCAUUAAUGGAGAAUUAACUAAACCAUGUGGAAUACAAAGAGAUAAAAUACUAGAUUGCCCACUGUCACCCUUGUUAUGCAUAUUGGUGCUUGAAAUCCUGAACAGGGACAUAAGACAAGACGAGAGAACUGGAGGUUUAAAGGUAAAACAGGAGACUAACAAAUUAAGAGCCUUUGCAGAUCUGGUGCUGGUUUUCGAGGACCCCUUAAAGGGAGUUGAAACUUUAAUGUCAAAACUGAAAGAAUUUGGUGUCAUGGCUGGUUUUAAGGUUAAUAAGCAGAAGACCAAAGUGGUAACUAAAAAUAUAAAAAUGCAGAAUCAAAUUAAAUUGGAGAGCAAAACAGGGUUUAAAAUUGAGAAAAGGUAAAAUACUUGAGUAUCACGUCAAACAUUAACUGUAUGUUAUUCCAUAAUAAUUAUAUUAAGACCAGGAAUGAAAUUAAAAGGGAUAUGCUAAGAUGGGAUCAAAUUCAACUAUUGUGUUGGGAAGAAUAGCUAUAAUUAAAAUGAAUGUUUUACUUAGAAUGCUAUUCCUAUUUUAAACAAUUUCAGUAUUGAGGCACCAUUUAAGAAAUGGCAGAAGGAUAUAUUGAGAUUUAUAUGGGAAGGCAAAAAAACCAAGGGUUAAAUUUAAGGUUCUAUAGGAUUCAAAGGAAAGAGGAGGUUUGGGUCUACCAGAUUUGAGAUUAUAUUAUGCGGCCAACUAUUUGGUUUGGAUGAAGAAAUGUAUUUUGUUAAAAAAAAUAAGAAGACUAUUGGAACUCGAAGGGCAUGACUUAUGAUUUGGGUGGCAUAGAUACUUAUGGUACGACAAGGUCAAGGUCAAUGCAGAGUUUAAUAAUCAUUAUGUAAGGCAUGC